rnacentral:rRNA from 1 species
AGACCCGAAACCCGGUGAUCUAGCCAUGGGCAGGUUGAAGGUUGGGUAACACUAACUGGAGGACCGAACCGACUAAUGUUGAAAAAUUAGCGGAUGACCUGUGGCUGGGGGUGAAAGGCCAAUCAAACCGGGAGAUAGCUGGUUCUCCCCGAAAGCUAUUUAGGUAGCGCCUCGUGAAUUCAUCUCCGGGGGUAGAGCACUGUUUCGGCUAGGGGGCCAUCCCGGCUUACCAACCCGAUGCAAACUGCGAAUACCGGAGAAUGUUAUCACGGGAGACACACGGCGGGUGCUAACGUCCGUCGUGAAGAGGGAAACAACCCAGACCGCCAGCUAAGGUCCCAAAGUCAUGGUUAAGUGGGAAACGAUGUGGGAAGGCCCAGACAGCCAGGAUGUUGGCUUAGAAGCAGCCAUCAUUUAAAGAAAGCGUAAUAGCUCACUGGUCGAGUCGGCCUGCGCGGAAGAUGUAACGGGGCUAAACCAUGCACCGAAGCUGCGGCAGCGAACGUAUCACCCAAGACAACUUUACGGAGUUGACGAUUGACGGAGCGAAGCGACGUCAAAGCGUUCAUUAAAGUCGAGUUGGCUUAGGGAUACGUUCGUUGGGUAGGGGAGCGUUCUGUAAGCCAGUGAAGGUGUGUCGUGAGGCAUGCUGGAGGUAUCAGAAGUGCGAAUGCUGACAUAAGUAACGAUAAAGCGGGUGAAAAGCCCGCUCGCCGGAAGACCAAGGGUUCCUGUCCAACGUUAAUCGGGGCAGGGUGAGUCGACCCCUAAGGCGAGGCCGAAAGGCGUAGUCGAUGGGAAACGGGUUAAUAUUCCCGUACUUGGUGUUACUGCGAAGGGGGGACGGAGAAGGCUAUGUUGGCCGGGCGACGGUUGUCCCGGUUUAAGCGUGUAGGUGUGUGUUCCAGGUAAAUCCGGUUCACUUUAACACUGAGGCGUGAUGACGAGGCACUACGGUGCUGAAGCAACAAAUGCCCUGCUUCCAGGAAAAGCCUCUAAGCAUCAGGUAACAUCAAAUCGUACCCCAAACCGACACAGGUGGUCAGGUAGAGAAUACCAAGGCGCUUGAGAGAACUCGGGUGAAGGAACUAGGCAAAAUGGUGCCGUAACUUCGGGAGAAGGCACGCUGACACGUAGGUGAAGUGAUUUACUCAUGGAGCUGAAGUCAGUCGAAGAUACCAGCUGGCUGCAACUGUUUAUUAAAAACACAGCACUGUGCAAACACGAAAGUGGACGUAUACGGUGUGACGCCUGCCCGGUGCCGGAAGGUUAAUUGAUGGGGUCAGCGCAAGCGAAGCUCCUGAUCGAAGCCCCGGUAAACGGCGGCCGUAACUAUAACGGUCCUAAGGUAGCGAAAUUCCUUGUCGGGUAAGUUCCGACCUGCACGAAUGGCGUAAUGAUGGCCAGGCUGUCUCCACCCGAGACUCAGUGAAAUUGAACUCGCUGUGAAGAUGCAGUGUACCCGCGGCAAGACGGAAAGACCCCGUGAACCUUUACUAUAGCUUGACACUGAACAUUGAGCCUUGAUGUGUAGGAUAGGUGGGAGGCUUUGAAGCGUGGACGCCAGUCUGCGUGGAGCCGACCUUGAAAUACCACCCUUUAAUGUUUGAUGUUCUAACGUGGACCCGUGAUCCGGGUUGCGGACAGUGUCUGGUGGGUAGUUUGACUGGGGCGGUCUCCUCCUAAAGAGUAACGGAGGAGCACGAAGGUUGGCUAAUCCUGGUCGGACAUCAGGAGGUUAGUGCAAUGGCAUAAGCCAGCUUGACUGCGAGCGUGACGGCGCGAGCAGGUGCGAAAGCAGGUCAUAGUGAUCCGGUGGUUCUGAAUGGAAGGGCCAUCGCUCAACGGAUAAAAGGUACUCCGGGGAUAACAGGCUGAUACCGCCCAAGAGUUCAUAUCGACGGCGGUGUUUGGCACCUCGAUGUCGGCUCAUCACAUCCUGGGGCUGAAGUAGGUCCCAAGGGUAUGGCUGUUCGCCAUUUAAAGUGGUACGCGAGCUGGGUUUAGAACGUCGUGAGACAGUUCGGUCCCUAUCUGCCGUGGGCGCUGGAGAACUGAGGGGGGCUGCUCCUAGUACGAGAGGACCGGAGUGGACGCAUCACUGGUGUUCGGGUUGUCAUGCCAAUGGCACUGCCCGGUAGCUAAAUGCGGAAGAGAUAAGUGCUGAAAGCAUCUAAGCACGAAACUUGCCCCGA